GCAUAUCAAUAAGCGGAGGAAAAGAAACCAACAGGGAUUGCCUCAGUAACGGCGAGUGAAGCGGCAUCAGCUCAAAUUUGAAAUCUGGCCUCACGGCCCGAGUUGUAAUUUGUAGAGAAUGCUUCGGGCGAGGUCCGGUCUAAGUUCCUUGGAACAGGACGUCAUAGAGGGUGAGAAUCCCGUAUGCGACCGGUCGCCUCCGCCCAUGUGAAGCUUCUUCGACGAGUCGAGUUGUUUGGGAAUGCAGCUCUAAGCGGGUGGUAUAUUUCAUCUAAAGCUAAAUACUGGCCAGAGACCGAUAGCGCACAAGUAGAGUGAUCGAAAGAUGAAAAGCACUUUGGAAAGAGAGUUAAACAGUACGUGAAAUUGUUGAAAGGGAAGCGCUUGCAACCAGACUUGCGCGCAGCUGAUCAUCCGGUGUUCUCACCGGUGCACUCGGUUGCGCUCAGGCCAGCAUCGGUUCCGGCGGUUGGAUAAAGGCCUUGGGAAUGUAGCUCCUCUCGGGGAGUGUUAUAGCCCUCGGUGCAAUGCAGCCUGCUGGGACCGAGGACCGCGCUUCGGCUAGGAUGCUGGCGUAAUGGUUGUAAGCGACCCGUCUUGAAACACGGACCAAGGAGUCUAACAUCUAUGCGAGUGUUUGGGCGUUAAACCCAUACGCGUAAUGAAAGUGAACGGAGGUGAGAACCCUUAAGGGUGCAUCAUCGACCGAUCCUGAUGUCUUCGGAUGGAUUUGAGUAAGAGCAUAGCUGUUGGGACCCGAAAGAUGGUGAACUAUGCCUGAAUAGGGUGAAGCCAGAGGAAACUCUGGUGGAGGCUCGCAGCGGUUCUGACGUGCAAAUCGAUCGUCAAAUUUGGGUAUAGGGGCGAAAGACUAAUCGAACCAUCUAGUAGCUGGUUCCUGCCGA
rnacentral:rRNA from 1 species